AUUGUGCUUAAGGCUUUAAUUUUGACUUCUAUUGUGGUUUUCUCGCUCACUGGCUAUACCUUCUGGGAUUCCAAGAAGGGCAAAGAUUUCUCGUUGGCAUGAUGCAGAUUUGAUGUAGAUUGUGUUGCUUCUAUUUUAUUUUCAAGCUUUGUAAUUGUGUGAGGGUGUCCAACAAGUUAAGAUGGCUAUUGAUGUGCCAAGAGAGCAAAUUUGCUGACUGGCAACGGGUCAGGAUGCAAGAGACUUCCAAAGAGAUACCUGCUGGAUCGUUGCCUAGGUUGUUGGAUGUUAUUCUUCGUCACGAGAUUGUGGAACAGGCCAGGGCUGGUGACACGUGAGCCUUAUAUUUUCCAACACUUGCUUUGACUAGCCAAAUUGUGGUAAAAACCCAAAGUUGGAAUUCGAUAUAAUCAUAUUCUGUUCUCUUUUAGGGUAAUUCUCACAGGAACUAUAAUUGUUAUUCCUGACCUUUUGGCAUUGGCAUCCCCUGGAGAGAGAUCAAAAUUCCGCUGAGAAGGUUCUCAAUGCAAGGGUCCUGCAGUUGGAAAUGAAGGUGUUAGGGGCCUUAGAGCCCUUGGAGUCAGAGACCUCUCUUAUCGCCUAGCAUUUAUUGCCAACUCCGUUGAGAUUUGCGAUGGUAGAAGAGAUGCAUACAUCCGAAAUAGAAAGAAGGAUUCUAAUGAUAAUGAUAUGCAGUUUACUGUUACUUCAGCAUUCUCUUUAUCUAUGUGCAUUAUCGUUGCUGUUAUAUAUUACCAUCUGGUUUAGAUUUGAUUGUGUAUAUAUUGUAACGGUUUUGGUACAAUAAGCAAACCAUUAGUAUCUCCAUGUUAUACUUUGUAUCACACCCAUUUGUGUUUAAUUUGAAAGUUUCUUUCAACUCUGACUGGGGAGGCAAAAUAUGGAAUAGGCCACUCAAAAUUGAAGACAAGCAUUUGUAUGCAAAAUGCAUGGAGAAACACACACAAAUUUAGGGUUUGUUUUAAUUUUUAAAAUACCUUUUUUUUUAUGAUGAAAAAAGAAACUAAGGGAACUAUCAAUAGGCAUCGCAGUAGUGACCUUAUUUAAAUUUUUUAUGUACUGUAUUGAAUGUAUUUCUGAUAACUUCCAUUAACCAAAAUAAAAUAAAAUAAAUCUGAGGUAGGCUUUUAAUCUUAGUAUAAUUGAAAAAGAAUUGUUCAUAGUUACUAGUUAGUGUGAUUGUUAGUUGAAUUUUUGUGUUUUACUCUCAUAUAGUUUGUGUAUGUUCUUCUCUUCGUGUUACUGACAACAUAAAUUUCAUCACAUGAUUCUAUCUCUGACUGACUCACACUUGCACGCAUUAGAGUAAGAGACGCGGUGAAUAAUGUGAUGAAAGAGGCACAAGGGAAGAUGAUUCUUGAUUUAGAAUGGGUUGCAGCAAGGUCCAUUGAGGUUCAAUUCAGUGGCAUUCAGCUCACCACAACCAACCCUCCUUCCACCGCUGGCCCAACUUCCCCACCAUGGAGUGGAGGCAUGCUUUUGUUCCCGAAACGUAAUCCCUCUUUCUUUUUGUUUUCUUUAUUACACUGAAUUAUCUUAAGACCCAAAAAGAAAAGAUAGAGAUAAGAGUCACAGACAAAAAAAAAUUAUGUUUUUGUCUCUGUUUUCAUUUCACUAUCUUUAGUCUUAUGCUACUUUUAACAUUAGAGACAUUAACAAGAUAGUAGUUAACUCUUUUAGUACCUUUACUUGCCAUUAUAUUCCUGGAAAUUGUAAUAUAGACACAUUUGUUAGAAUGAGAUAGAUAUUUUGAAUAAACAAAUAGAUACAAAUUUUUAGCUUUUAGUAAUAUUUUUCCAAUUCUAAGUUAACAAAUGCAGCCUUAUUAUUUUGGCUGCAAUGCAAUCCAU